rnacentral:rRNA from 1 species
UACGAAGGGGGCUAGCGUUGUUCGGAAUUACUGGGCGUAAAGGGCUCGUAGGCGCCAACUAAGUCAUACGUGAAAUCCCUCGGCUUAACCGGGGAACUGCGUCUGAUACUGGAUGGCUUGAGUUCGGGAGAGGGAUGCGGAAUUCCAGGUGUAGCGGUGAAAUGCGUAGAGAUCCGGAAGAACACCGGUGGCGAAGGCGGCCUGCUGGGCAGUUGCUGACACUGAGGCGCGACAGCGUGGGGAGCAAACAGG